rnacentral:rRNA from 1 species
GAUGAACGCCGGCGGUGUGCCUAAUAACAUGCAAGUACGUACGCACUGGCCCAACUGAUUGAUGGUGCUUGCACCUGAUUGAUGAUGGAUCACCAGUGAGUGGCGGACGGGUGAGUAACACGUAGGUAACCUGCCCCGGAGCGGGGGAUAACAUUUGGAAACAGAUGCUAAUACCGCACAACAACAAAAGCCACAUGGCCUUUGUUUAAAAAUGGCUUUGGCUAUCACUCUGGGAUGGACCUGCGGUGCAUUAGCUAGUUGGUAAGGUAACGGCUUACCAAGGCGAUGAUGCAUAGCCGAGUUGAGAGACUGAUCGGCCACAUGGAACUGAGACACGGUCCAUGCUCCUACGGGAGGCAGCAGUAGGGAAUCUUCCACAAUGGG